AUGUACAUAAGUCUUUUUCUCACCAUUGCAAAAGUCGUUGAGAAGUAUGAUGAUUCGUUCAAGCUUAGAAGGAAUGCAUGCAGAGAUAUAAAGUGCAAGCCGUUUCAUGAAGUGCAUUGCGGCUAUUCAAGUUUUGGCAUGUGUUCGCCCGAUGCAAUUGAUGACUAUGUCCGUAUUGGCGAAGACACAAUCUUGAAGGCCGUUCAAAGGUUCACUUAUAAUACUUCACAGCCAGGCAAUGCCAUGGAUCUAUAUUCUGGGCAUAUUUAUCGAGUGGUGGAUACAAGGGUGAGCGAACAUUGCAUAUCUACAAGUUAA
rnacentral:rRNA from 1 species